rnacentral:rRNA from 1 species
AACGAACGCUGGCGGCGCGCUUAACACAUGCAAGUCGAACGAGAAGGCGUAGCAAUACGCUUGUAAAGUGGCGAACGGGUGAGGAAUACAUGGGUAACCUACCCUCGAGUGGGGGAUAACCCGCCGAAAGGCGGGCUAAUACCGCGUACGCUUCCGAUCUUGCGGGAUCGGAAGGAAAGCUGUCCCUUGGGGAUGGCGCUCAAGGAUGGGCUCAUGUCCUAUCAGCUUGUUGGUAGGGUAACGGCCUACCAAGGCAUCGACGGGUAGCUGGUCUGAGAGGACGAUCAGCCACACUGGCACUGCGACACGGGCCAGACUCCUACGGGAGGCAGCAGUGAGGAAUAUUGCGCAAUGGGCGAAAGCCUGACGCAGCGACGCCGCGUGGGGGAUGAAGGUCUUCGGAUUGUAAACCCCUUUCGGGUGGGAAGACGGCCCUAGACAACUAGGGCGGACGGUACCGCCAGAAGCAGCCACGGCUAACUUCGUGCCAGCAGCCGCCGCGGU